rnacentral:lncRNA from 1 species
CCCUCUCAUUAAUCCAUCCCCAUCCUCGCUAGCUACCAGAUUUUAUUUUUACUGUUCAACCAGGUUUCGCUCCACUUUUCAGAAGCUGAGCACGCAUGUUUCGUAGCUAACCCAGUCACAGUCACUGCUCAAUAUCUAUUUCUAGUUGUAACGAGUUUUUAUACAACUGUUGUUAACCUAGAAUAGUUCCUGCGUCCACCGUUUCCAAACUAGCAAACCAUAUGUUUUUUUAAAAGUUUAUAUAUAGGUGUUCAUCAUAUUAUAUCUCUAAAAUAGAUUUUUAAUUCAUCGUUUAUACCACUAAAUAGUUAUGAAAAACCAGAUAAUCUUUUAUCAUUU